rnacentral:rRNA from 1 species
GACGAACGCUGGCGGCGUGCUUAACACAUGCAAGUCGAACGGAAAGGCCCUGCUUUUGUGGGGUGCUCGAGUGGCGAACGGGUGAGUAACACGUGAGUAACCUGCCCUUGACUUUGGGAUAACUUCAGGAAACUGGGGCUAAUACCGGAUAGGAGCUCCUGCUGCAUGGUGGGGGUUGGAAAGUUUCGGCGGUUGGGGAUGGACUGGCGGCUUAUCAGCUUGUUGGUGGGGUAGUGGCUUACCAAGGCUUUGACGGGUAGCCGGCCUGAGAGGGUGACCGGCGACAUUGGGACUGAGAUACGGCCCAGACUCCUACGGGAGGCAGCAGUGGGGAAUAUUGCACAAUGGGCGGAAGCCUGAUGAGGCAACGCCGCGUGCGGGAUGACGGUCUUCGGGUUGUAAACCGCUUUCGCCUGUGACGAAGCGUGAGUGGCGGUAAUGGGUAAAGAAGCACCGGCUAACUACGUG